CCUACGGGUGGCAGCAGUAGGGAAUAUUGCUCAAUGGGGGAAACCCUGAAGCAGCAACGCCGCGUGGAGGAUGAAGGUUCUCGGAUUGUAAACCUCUUUUGUUAGAGAAGACAAUGACGGUAUCUAACGAAUAAGCACCGGUUCAAUCCGUGACAGCAGCCGCGGUCACACGGAAGGUGCAAGCGUUACUAGGAAUCACUGGGGGUAAAGAGCGAGUAGGUGGGAUAGCAAGGUAGACGUGAAAACUUUUGGGUUAAACAUAGAACUGCAUUUGAAACUGUUGUUCUAGAGUGUGGGAGAGGUAUGUGGAAUGCUUGGUGUAGAGGUAAAAUGCGUAGAGAUCAAGAAGAAUACUCAUUGCGAAGGCGGCCUGCUGGAGCAUAACUGACGCUGAUGCGCGAAAGCGUGGGGAGCGAACAGGAUUAGAUACCCCGGUAGUC
rnacentral:rRNA from 1 species